AGUACGUGAAACCGUCUAGAGGUAAGCGGGUGGACCCGUCCAGUCGGCCCUCGGAAUUCAGCUUUCGGGACCGUCCGCUGGCGCUGCAAUGUGAUCCCUGGGACGCGUGCGGUGUCAGACCGGGCUCCUGAGAGUGCACUUUCCGUGUUGGCAGAGCGUCACGACCGGCUCGGCGGCGGUGAUAAGGCCUGGGGGAAGGUAGGUCGUGAGUCUUCGGGCUCACGACUGUUAUAGACCCUGGGAGAUAGCCGCUGCGGGGCCGUGGAUCGACCCGUCGUAUGGCAGUGGGGCUUCCCGCGUUCGUUCGACUCGGAAGGACUGGCUUGCCGUGCUUCCGGACUGCGAUGCGUGGGCGGACUCUGCGAUAGCCCGCGAUGUGUUAGGGUCAGUGACACACGAUCGGUAAUCCACCCGGCCCGUCUUGAAACACGGACCAAGAAGUCCAACAUGUGCGCGAGUCAUUGGGUCCUACGAAACCUAAAGGCGUAAUGAAGGUGAAGGCAGGUUCGGCCUGCUGAGGUGAGAUCCNGGCCCUCGGGCUGGGCGCAUCACCGGCCCGUCUGCAAAGGCGGAGCAAGAGCGCACACGUUGGGACCCGAAAGAUGGUGAACUAUGCCUGAGCAGGAUGAAGCCAGAGGAAACUCUGGUGGAAGUCCGUAGCGAUUCUGACGUGCAAAUCGAUCGUCGAACUUGGGUAUAGGGGCGAAAGACUAAUCGAACCAUCUAGUAGCUGGUUCCCUCCGAAGUUUCCCUCAGGAUAGCUGGCGCUCGUAACAGUUUUAUCCGGUAAAGCGAAUGAUUAGAGGCCUUGGGGACGAAACGUCCUCAACCUAUUCUCAAACUUUAAAUGGGUAAGGAGUCGGACUCGCUUAAUUGGAGUCCGGACUGGAAUGUGAGUGCCAAGUGGGCCACUUUUGGUAAGCAGAACUGGCGCUGUGGGAUGAACCAAACGUCCGGUUAAGGUGCCUAACACUGACGCUCAUGAGAUACCAUAAAAGGUGUUGGUUGAUAUAGACAGCAGGACGGUGGCCAUGGAAGUCGGAAUCCGCUAAGGAGUGUGUAACAACUCACCUGCCGAAUCAACCAGC
rnacentral:rRNA from 1 species